rnacentral:rRNA from 1 species
UACGUAGGGGGCAAGCGUUGUCCAGAAUCAUUGGGCGUAAAGAGCGUGUAGGCGGCUCGGUAAGUCCGCUCUGAAAGCCCGGGGCUCAACCCCGGGAGGCGGGCGGAUACUGUCGAGCUAGAGUCCGGAAGAGGCGAGUGGAAUUCCUGGUGUAGCGGUGAAAUGCGCAGAUAUCAGGAGGAACACCAAUGGCGAAGGCAGCUCGCUGGGACGGUACUGACGCUGAGACGCGAAAGCUAGGGGAGCAAACGGG